CGUAGGGGGCAAGCGUUGUCCGGAAUCAUUGGGCGUAAAGAGCGUGUAGGCGGCCCGGUAAGUCCGCUGUGAAAGUCCAGGGCUCAACCCUGGGAUGCCGGUGGAUACUGUCGGGCUCGAGUCCGGAAGAGGAGUGUGGAAUUCCUGGUGUAGCGGUGAAAUGCGCAGAUAUCAGGAGGAACACCAAUGGCGAAGGCAGCACUCUGGGACGUGACUGACGCUGAGACGCGAAAGCGUGGGGAGCAAACAGG
rnacentral:rRNA from 1 species